CCACCUCCCACCCGUGUUUACUGUACCUUAGUUGCUUCGGCGGGCCCGCCAUUCAUGGCCGCCGGGGGCUCUCAGCCCCGGGCCCGCGCCCGCCGGAGACACCACGAACUCUGUCUGAUCUAGUGAAGUCUGAGUUGAUUGUAUCGCAAUCAGUUAAAACUUUCAACAAUGGAUCUCUUGGUUCCGGCAUCGAUGAAGAACGCAGCGAAAUGCGAUAACUAGUGUGAAUUGCAGAAUUCCGUGAAUCAUCGAGUCUUUGAACGCACAUUGCGCCCCCUGGUAUUCCGGGGGGCAUGCCUGUCCGAGCGUCAUUGCUGCCCAUCAAGCACGGCUUGUGUGUUGGGUCGUCGUCCCCUCUCCGGGGGGGACGGGCCCCAAAGGCAGCGGCGGCACCGCGUCCGAUCCUCGAGCGUAUGGGGCUUUGUCACCCGCUCUGUAGGCCCGGCCGGCGCUUGCCGAACGCAAAUCAAUCUUUUUCCAGGUUGACCUCGGAUCAGGUAGGGAUACCCGCUGAACUUAAGCAUAUCAAUAGCCGGA
rnacentral:rRNA from 1 species